rnacentral:lncRNA from 1 species
AGAACGCAGCGGAAGUUUUCGGUUCGUACCUUUUGCGGAAGCGAUUCGCACAACAACGCGAUGAGCCCGGAUCGUUUAGAUUGAUUCACGUGUCCUCGGAUCGUCCUUGAAUGUCUUCUCACACUCCACGAACUCGCGGUGGAUCGAACUACAAACGAGCGCGAUCGCAAAUCCACCGUGCAAGUCCCUCUAGAAUAAUAGGUCAAUGGAGGAUGUGGUUUCUCGCUAUUAUUUUCUUAUUCUCUCUUUUUUUCCGUUCUUUCCGUAUAUUCCGUUAUGUGGGAUCGCCCGCAUAUUUAUAAGGAAUUCCAAAAUCCUAAUAGCGUUAGAGAUAAGGCCAAAUCGAUUAUUAUUUGUUAUCCUAAUAUGAUUAGAUUUAUCUCCAAUUAGCUUUCCAAUUUGAAAGCGAGAUUAAUCCUAAUCCAAUUAGAUAACAUAAUAUCCGUCGGAUCGAACCCGCUUAUGGGCGUACCCGAUUCGAUUUAACCGAAUGCCAACACCAAGGUUCGGUAUUCUACAUUCUGUCCGAUGACAUAUUCGGUAAUUUCGAAGGAAAUACAUCAUAGAAUAAAAUAGUG